rnacentral:rRNA from 1 species
AUUGAACGCUGGCGGCAGGCCUAACACAUGCAAGUCGAGCGGCAGCGGGAAAGUAGCUUGCUACUUUUGCCGGCGAGCGGCGGACGGGUGAGUAAUGCCUGGGGAUCUGCCCAGUCGAGGGGGAUAACUACUGGAAACGGUAGCUAAUACCGCAUACGCCCUACGGGGGAAAGCAGGGGACCUUCGGGCCUUGCGCGAUUGGAUGAACCCAGGUGGGAUUAGCUAGUUGGUGAGGUAACGGCGCACCAAGGCGACGAUCCCUAGCUGGUCUGAGAGGAUGAUCAGCCACACUGGAACUGAGACACGGUCCAGACUCCUACGGGAGGCAGCAGUGGGGAAUAUUGCACAAUGGGGGAAACCCUGAUGCAGCCAUGCCGCGUGUGUGAAGAAGGCCUUCGGGUUGUAAAGCACUUUCAGCGAGGAGGAAAGGUCAGUAGCUAAUAUCUGCUGGCUGUGACGUUACUCGCAGAAGAAGCACCGGCUAACUCCGUGCCAGCCGCCGCCGUAA